ensembl:lncRNA
GGGGAACAGACUGAGACACAACACCGGAAGUAAGGCGCGCGCGCGGUCAAGCUUCAGAAUCAGAAUUUUUAAAUCACAACCAUACUACCCCUUACAAUAAUUACAAAUAAAUAAAUUAAUAACACUAAUUAUUGUGACAAAUUACGAUAAAUUGAUGUGCGCAUGCCCAACAGCCACAUCUUUAGUAUAACGUUAACAUUAGCCUUAACCGCGAAAAUCUGAGAAAAUGGACACCUACGUGCUUUACCACGGAAACAAAAGAGUGACGCUUAAAGAAGAUGAUAUGCGUGCUGAGAAGAUUUCACGAAUAUUUCAGGUCACCUGUGACAGCCUCUAUUUGACAGAUGAUUCUAAUGUUGCGAUUUUCCCAAAUGCUGAAGGGUCUUUCAGCACGAUUGACUUGACCCUCAGGGCACAUUAUGAAGUCCAUGGAGACACUGUCGAGACCCAGCAAAACUCCCCUUCCACGUCAGCAUUUGCUUCAACUCCAGGUCAGCGGCAUUUCUCUUUCGCCAGGCCAGGGACAUCUGGAUCUAUUUUCCCAACAACACCGCGUGUAAACCGAACUUGGACAAGAGCAAUAAAUGUUGCAGAAGUGAUAGAUGGAAAACCAGUUCCAAAAAGCGUUGUUGUUGUAAAGUUCUCUGAAGCUGAGGCCAAUGUUCCGGGCAUCGUGCAGAAACUUCAGGCUGACCUUAGGGCUUCAGAAUCCCCUGUACUACUGGAUUCCAACUGGAAUGAAAUAAUGGAUUCAGAAGGAACACGAGGUAACAAAUGAACACUGAUAAUUUGUAAUAAAUUACAAUGUCAUUUGCUUAGUAUUUCUGUU